CUACCAUGCAAGUCGAACGAAACUUUUUGCUUCGGUAGAAAGUUUAGUGGCGGACGGGUGAGUAACGCGUGAGGAACCUGCCUUUCAGAGGGGGAUAAUGUCUGGAAACGGACACUAAUACCGCAUGACAUUUUCUGUUCACAUGGACAGAAAAUCAAAGGAGCAAUCUGCUGAAAGAUGGACUCGCGUCCGAUUAGCUAGAUGGUGAGAUAAUAGCCCACCAUGGCGACGAUCGGUAGCCGGACUGAGAGGUUGAACGGCCACAUUGGGACUGAGACACGGCCCAGACUCCUACGGGAGGCAGCAGUGGGGGAUAUUGCACAAUGGAGGAAACUCUGAUGCAGCAACGCCGCGUGAAGGAAGACGGUCUUCGGAUUGUAAACUUUUGUACCUAGGGACGAUAAUGACGGUACCUAGGCAGCAAGCUCCGGCUAACUACGUGCCAGCAGCCGCGGUAAUACGUAGGGAGCGAGCGUUGUCCGGAUUUACUGGGUGUAAAGGGUGCGUAGGCGGCCAAGCAAGUCAGCUGUGAAAACUAUGGGCUUAACCCAUAGCCUGCAAUUGAAACUGUUUGGCUUGAGUGAAGUAGAGGUAGGUGGAAUUCCCGGUGUAGCGGUGAAAUGCGUAGAGAUUGGGAGGAACACCAGUGGCGAAGGCGACCUACUGGGCUUUAACUGACGCUGAAGCACGAAAGCAUGGGUAGCAAACAGGAUUAGAUACCCUGGUAGUCCAUGCUGUA
rnacentral:rRNA from 1 species